GUAGGUGAACCUGCGGAAGGAUCAUUCAUAAUAAGUGUUUUAUGGCACUUUUUAAAUCCAUAUCCACCUUGUGUGCAGUGUCAGUCGAUCUUCUUCAUGGAGAUCGACCAAACAUCAACCUUUAUUUUUUAACUCUUUGUCUGAAAAAUAUUAUGAAUAAACAAUUCAAAAUACAACUGCUAGCAACGGAUCACUCGGCUCUC
rnacentral:misc_RNA from 1 species